rnacentral:rRNA from 1 species
CCUACGGGGGGCAGCAGUGAGGAAUAUUGGUCAAUGGACGAGAGUCUGAACCAGCCAAGUAGCGUGAAGGAUGACUGCCCUAUGGGUUGUAAACUUCUUUUAUCUGGGAAUAAAAUGUUCCACGUGUGGGUUUUUGUAUGUACCAUAUGAAUAAGGAUCGGCUAACUCCGUGCCAGCAGCCGCGGUAAUACGGAGGAUCCGAGCGUUAUACGGAUUUAUUGGGUUUAAAGGGAGCGUAGGUGGAUUGUUAAGUCAGUUGUGAAAGUGUGCGGCUCAACCGUAAAAUUGCAGUUGAAACUGGCAGUCUUGAGUACAGUAGAGGUAGGCGGAAUUCGUGGUGUAGCGGUGAAAUGCUUAGAUAUCACGAAGAACUCCGAUUGCGAAGGCAGCUCACUGGACUGCAACUGACACUGAUGCUCGAAAGUGUGGGUAUCAAACAGGAUUAGAUACCCCGGUAGUC